UGGGGAAUAUUGGACAAUGGGCGCAAGCCUGAUCCAGCAAUGCCGCGUGUGUGAAGAAGGCCUGCGGGUUGUAAAGCACUUUCGGUGGGGAGAAAGAGGCUAUCACUAAUACUGGUAGCGGAUGAUGUUACCCACAGAAGAAGCACCGGCUAACUCUGUGCCAGCAGCCGCGGUAAUACAGAGGGUGCGAGCGUUAAUCGGAAUUACUGGGCGUAAAGGGUGCGUAGGUGGUUACGUAAGUUAGGUGUGAAAGCCCCGGGCUUAACCUGGGAAUUGCGCUUGAUACUGCGUGGCUAGAGUACUGUAGAGGAAGGUGGAAUUUCCAGUGUAGCGGUGAAAUGCGUAGAUAUUGGAAGGAACAUCGGUGGCGAAGGCGACUUUCUGGACAGAUACUGACACUGAGGCACGAAAGCAUGGGGAGCAAACAGGAUUAGAUACCCCGGUAGUCC
rnacentral:rRNA from 1 species